GACGAACGCUGGCGGCGUGCUUAACACAUGCAAGUCGAACGGAAAGGCCUGUCCUUCCUUGUGUUGGACGGGUACUCGAGUGGCGAACGGGUGAGUAACACGUGAGUGAUCUGCCCCCAACUUGGGUAUAAGCCUGGGAAACUGGGUCUAAUUCCCGAUAGGACUGCAGGGUGGUGCCUGUGGUGGAAAACGAUUUUCUAGUGGUUGGGGAUGAGCUCGCGGCCUAUCAGCUUGUUGGUGGGGUAAUGGCCUACCAAGGCGGCGACGGGUAGCCGGCCUGAGAGGGUGGACGGCCACAUUGGGACUGAGAUACGGCCCAGACUCCGACGGGAGGCAGCAGUGGGGAAUAUUGCACAAUGGGCGGAAGCCUGAUGCAGCGACGCCGCGUGGGGGAUGACGGCCUUCGGGUUGUAAACUCCUUUCGACCGCGAGGAAGCCGCCUGGUUGGAAGGGUGGUGACGGUAGUGGUAGAAGAAGCACCGGCUAACUACGUG
rnacentral:rRNA from 1 species